AUAGGAUUUCACUGUGUUGUCCAAGCUGGAGUGCAGUGGCUCAAUCACAGGUCAUGGCAGCCUCGACCUCCUGGGGUUCAGGUGAUCCUCCCAUCUCAGCCUCCCGAGUAGCUGGGGCUACAGGUCUUUUGCUCCACGUGAUAUUGACUAUGAUCAUCUGGAGGGUCCGUGGUUCCAGUGACUUAGCAUCAAAGACGGCCUAACACACACGUCUGGUGCCUCUGCUGGGAUGGCUGAAGCAGCCGGAGGCUGGCCAGGUCUGGCCAUGUGCUUGUAUCACCCUCCAGACUGGAAGCUCCUCAGGCAGCUAGGAUCCCCAUCAACCCUGGACCCUGUGCCAGCCCAGAAGAUCAAGAGUGCUGGAGAAAGGGAAGCUGGAAGAAGAUCUGCUGGCUGGGAUUCCUGGCAGGGCUGAAGGAGAUCAGAGCCUGCACUGAACAGACUCCACCGCGGCAGCUCCUUUCUCUACUCUGGACUCCAAUCCUUUUGGGAUCCUGCUUUGCACUCACUGAUGAGAAAAUGACAAGGGACACCUCCAGCUCCAAGAAACUAUGGAUUUUAAAAAAUGAAAGUAUAAAAGCCCCAGAAGAAAACACAGGAGAAUGGCCAGCCGUGGUGGCUCACGCCUAUAAUCCCAGCACUUUGGGAGGCUGAGGUGGAUGGAUCACUUGAGAUCAGGAGUUUGAGACCAGACUGGCCAACAUGGUGAAGCCCUGUUUCUGCUAAAAAUACAAAAAUUAGCUGGGCUUGGUGGCGUGCCCCUGUAAUCCCAGCUACUCUGGAGGCUGAGGCAGGAGAAUUGCUUGAACCUGGGAGGCAGAGGUUGCAAUGAGCUGAGAAAUGCAAAUCAAAACCACAAGGAGAUACCAUCUCAUGCCAGUUAGAAUGGCAAUCAUUAAAAAGUCUGGAAAUAACAAAUGCUGGUGAGGAUGUGGAGAAAUAGGAACACGUUUACACUGUUGGUGGGAGUGUAAAUUAGCUCAACCAUUGUGGAAGACAGUGUGGCGACUCCUCGAGGAUCUAGAACUAGAAAUACCAUUUGACCCAGCAAUCCCAUUACUGGGUAUAUACCCAAAGGAUUAUAAAUCAUUCUACUAUAAAGACACAUGCAUACAUUUGUUUAUUGCAGCACUACUUACGAUAGCAAAGACUUGGAAGCAACCCAAAAGCCCAUCAAUGAUACACUGGAUAAAGAAAAUGUGGCACAUAUGCAACUUGGAAUACUAUGCAGCCAUAAAAAAGAAUGAGUUCAUGUCCUUUGCAGGGACCUGGAUGAAGCUGAAAACCAUCAUCCUCAGCAAACUAACACAGGAACAGAAAACCAAACACUGCAUGUUCUCACUCAUAAGUGGGAGCUAAACAAUGAGAACACAUGGACACAGGGAGGGGAACAUCACACACCGGGGCCUGUUGGGGGCAUGGGGAAAGAGGAGGAAGAGCAUUAGGACAAAUACCUAAUGCAUGUGGAGCUUAAAACCUAGAUGACGGGUUGAUAGGUGCAGCAAACCACCAUGGCCCAUGUAUACCUAUGUAACAAACCUGCACGUUCAGCACAUGUAUCCAAGGACUUAAAGUAAAAUUUUAAAAAAAGCAAAAAGAAAACAGAGAAUUUCUGAUUAACUUUAGAGCUAGAAAGACCUUUCUAUGCCUCAAAACCAGAAGCCAUAAAGAAAAAAGUAUAUAAAUGGCUCUUAUGCUUUUGAGGAAAUGCUCAGCCUUAUUCAUAAGGCGAUAAUUACAAUUUUAAAAUACAAUUGAGAUUCCAUUUUUCUCCUAUCAGACUGGCAGAAAUCCAAAGGUUUGAUAACAUUCUCUAAGCAGCACCAUGGAAAAGCAGGUACAUGUACUGUUGCUGGAGGAGGAGAGUUCCCUCUGCAUAAUCCCCACGGAGGACAACAUGGCAACAUCUACCCAAAUUACAAAACACCGGUGUUGGGCAGAAUUCUGAGGUGACCCUCACUGGCCUUCACUCUUCUGUGGUCCCCUGCCCUUGUAUGAGUGUAGGGCCUGUGAAUAAGAUGAGCAUGUGAACCAAAUGAUUGUAUUCCAUUAUAUGACAAAAGGGAUUUUGCAGAUUAACUGAGGUUCCAAGUCAGUUAACCUAAUGUUAGGGAGAUCACCCUUGUUGGACGGAUCUGACUGGGUGAGCCCUUGGAAAAUGGCAAGCUUUCUCUGGCAAGAGAAAUUCAUCAGAGAUUUGAAGCAUGAGAAAGAUCUGUUCGGCCAUUCCUGGCUUGAUGUUGGAGGGAGCUGCAUGGUGAGGACUGUGGGUGUCCUCCGGGAGCCCAGGGAGGCCCCUCCUGGAAGCCUGCAAGAAACCAGAGACUCAGUUCUACAACCACAAGGAUCCAGAUUCUGCCAACAACAAGAAUGGCCUUGGAAGUAGAUUUUCCCCCCAGAGCUUCCAAAAAAGAACCAAGCCUGGCCGCCACCUUGGUUUCACCCUGAACUCAGCACCCAGUUCAG